AAACUCAAGGCCUGCGGGUCAAUAGCAAGCAACAGCACUUAGACUUAUAGACCACUUGAUAGUGCUUUACGGCCUUCUCUAAGCGGCUUACAGGGUCAGAAUGUUGCCCCCAACAGUUUGGGUCCUCAUUUUACCCACCUUGGAAAGAUGGAAGGCUGAG